rnacentral:lncRNA from 1 species
AUUAAUGAUGUUAUAUAACCCGAGUAAUACUUCUAUACUUUUUUUUUUUGGUUACCGUUCAUUCACAUAUAUUCAACGGCUCAGAUUUAGUUUUUUUAAAAUUGUGACCUGCAAUAGCAUGUCACUUUGGGAGAGUUACUAGUUACCAGGUACCUCAAAAAAUGAUAUUUUUGUCUUUUAAUACAUGGACAAUUUAGUCAUUUUACAUCUACUAUAUUUUCAAAAUUUUUAUUUUUUCUUUGUUUCCUUUUUCUCUCUCUAUCUUUCCUUUCAUAAUUUGGCAUUUCAUAUAAAAAAAAUUUCAAAUGAUUUGACAAUAUGAUCAUUAAAUUUAAACUUUAAAUAGUAAUAUGAAAUUCCUCUAAUUUAAAUUUCACUUUUAAAUUUAAAAUUUAAUAUUAUAUUCAAAUUUAUAUUUUAAAAAUUUAAGUUUCAUAUAAAUACUUUGAAAUAUGGUAAAUAGAUAUAAUUGUUUGAAUUCUAGUCUUCUGGUUUAGGCUUGGUUUUGGGUUUCGGAAAAUUGGUCAGUUUUGAAUUUGGAUAUGGAUUUUUGAAAUCCGUCGAGUUCGGAAAUAAGUUUUGUGAUUGUUAGUCAGAUUCGAAUUCAAAUUCCUAAUUAUUUUUUUUCUCACCAAUAAUUCUAAUCUUUUUAAUUUAUAUGUUUAAAAUUAUAUUUAAAAUAUUUAUUAGGUCUAACAGUUAAAUUAUCAUUCUGUUUAAAAUAUUUAUUAUCUUUUCCGGUUUCGGUUCAAUAGGUUAAAAUCAGAUUUUUGAUAGAAUAAGUCAAAGUAUGAUCAGUCAAAUCAAUCGGUUCAAUCUAGUUUUUAAAUUAUUGAAUUUAAAAUUUAAAUAGUAAUAUGAAAUUCCUCUAGAGAAAUCUAGUUGUAGAAAUCUUACUCUCUAAGUUUUUUAUGCAUUACGUUUUAAACUGGUGCGAAUAAACUGUGUUUUAAAUCUUGGUAGAAAUUUAGUUUUUAAAUAGUAAUAUGAAAUUCCUCUAAUUUAAAUUUCACUUUUAAAUUUUAAGUAUUUAAUUUUUAAAAUUUAAAUUCGUCGUAUUUCGAAAUAAAACUAUUUCUAAAAUUUCUAUAAUUUAAAUUAAUGCAUAAUUUGAGAAACACUAAAACAUUUAAAGUAGAUUCCUAAAUUAAUGCCUAAUAAUUGCAUAAAUUUGGUUAAUCAAUUAAUUUUCUAAAUUAGUGCCAAUUAAUGCAUAAAUUUAGAACCUCAAUUAAAAAUUUCUUUAAAUAUUAUAUUAUUUAAUUACCAAACUAACCUUGAAUAAAAUAAUCUUUUUAUCUGCUAAGUAUUAAAGUUACAUUUUUACGUACCCUCUACUAAUCAACGGUUAAGAUCUUUUUUAUUUUUUUUUUAAAAAGUACCGAAUCAUUUCUCAUGGACC